rnacentral:rRNA from 1 species
AGAGUUUGAUCAUGGCUCAGGAUAAACGCUGGCGGCGUGCCUAACACAUGCAAGUCGAACGCCCUACGCAAGUAGGGAGUGGCGGACGGGUGAGUAACACGUGGGUGCAUCUCCCUUAGAGUGAGGAAUACCGGCGAGAAAUCGCCGACAAGACCGCAUACGCUUCGAGAGAAGCAAAGCUCGCAAGGGCGCUCUGAGAU